CUAAAAUGCACAGGUCGUGAGUUCGAUGAGUAGGGCGGGACACGUGACAUCCUGUCUGAAUAUGGGGGGACCAUCCUCCAAGGCUAAAUACUCCUGACUGACCGAUAGUGAACCAGUACCGUGAGGGAAAGGCGAAAAGAACCCCGGCGAGGGGAGUGAAAUAGAACCUGAAACCGUGUACGUACAAGCAGUGGGAGCACCUUCGUGGUGUGACUGCGUACCUUUUGUAUAAUGGGUCAGCGACUUAUAUUUUGUAGCAAGGUUAACCGUAUAGGGGAGCCGUAGGGAAACCGAGUCUUAACUGGGCGAAUAGUUGCAAGGUAUAGACCCGAAACCCGGUGAUCUAGCCAUGGGCAGGUUGAAGGUUGGGUAACACUAACUGGAGGACCGAACCGACUAAUGUUGAAAAAUUAGCGGAUGACUUGUGGCUGGGGGUGAAAGGCCAAUCAAACCGGGAGAUAGCUGGUUCUCCCCGAAAGCUAUUUAGGUAGCGCCUCGUGAACUCAUCUUCGGGGGUAGAGCACUGUUUCGGCUAGGGGGCCAUCCCGGCUUACCAAACCGAUGCAAACUCCGAAUACCGAAGAAUGUUAUCACGGGAGACACACGGCGGGUGCUAACGUCCGUCGUGAAGAGGGAAACAACCCAGACCGCCAGCUAAGGUCCCAAAGUCAUGGUUAAGUGGGAAACGAUGUGGGAAGGCAUAGACAGCCAGGAUGUUGGCUUAGAAGCAGCCAUCAUUUAAAGAAAGCGUAAUAGCUCACUGGUCGAGUCGGCCUGCGCGGAAGAUGUAACGGGGCUAAACCAUGCACCGAAGCUGCGGCAGCGACGUUUAGGCGUUGUUGGGUAGGGGAGCGUUCUGUAAGCCGUUGAAGGUGGCCUGUGAGGGUUGCUGGAGGUAUCAGAAGUGCGAAUGCUGACAUAAGUAACGAUAAAGCGGGUGAAAAGCCCGCUCGCCGGAAGACCAAGGGUUCCUGUCCAACGUUAAUCGGGGCAGGGUGAGUCGACCCCUAAGGCGAGGCUGAAAAGCGUAGUCGAUGGGAAACAGGUUAAUAUUCCUGUACUUGGUGUUACUGCGAAGGGGGGACGGAGAAGGCUAGGCUAGCCGGGCGACGGUUGUCCCGGUUUAAGCGUGUAGGGGGUGUGACCUGGUAAAUCCGGUUACAUAUCAACCCUGAGGCGUGAUGACGAUGCACUACGGUGCAGAAGUAGUUGAUGCCCUGCUUCCAGGAAAAGCCUCUAAGCUCUAGGUAACAUUGAAUCGUACCCCAAACCGACACAGGUGGUCAGGUAGAGAAUACCAAGGCGCUUGAGAGAACUCGGGUGAAGGAACUAGGCAAAAUGGUGCCGUAACUUCGGGAGAAGGCACGCUGGCAUGUAGGUGAAGUCCUUCGCGGAUGGAGCUGAAGCCAGUCGAAGAUACCAGCUGGCUGCAACUGUUUAAUAAAAACACAGCACUGUGCAAACACGAAAGUGGACGUAUACGGUGUGACGCCUGCCCGGUGCUGGAAGGUUAAUUGAUGGGGUCAGCCGCAAGGCGAAGCUCUUGAUCGAAGCCCCAGUAAACGGCGGCCGUAACUAUAACGGUCCUAAGGUAGCGAAAUUCCUUGUCGGGUAAGUUCCGACCUGCACGAAUGGCGUAAUGAUGGCCAGGCUGUCUCCACCCGAGACUCAGUGAAAUUGAACUCGCUGUGAAGAUGCAGUGUACCCGCGGCAAGACGGAAAGACCCCGUGAACCUUUACUAUAGCUUGACACUGAACAUUGAGCCUUGAUGUGUAGGAUAGGUGGGAGGCUUUGAAGCGUGGACGCCAGUCUGCGUGGAGCCAUCCUUGAAAUACCACCCUUUAAUGUUUGAUGUUCUAACUCGGCCCCAUAAUCUGGGGUGAGGACAGUGUCUGGUGGGUAGUUUGACUGGGGCGGUCUCCUCCCAAAGAGUAACGGAGGAGCACGAAGGUUAGCUAAUCACGGUCGGACAUCGUGAGGUUAGUGCAAAGGCAUAAGCUAGCUUGACUGCGAGAGUGACGGCUCGAGCAGGUACGAAAGUAGGUCUUAGUGAUCCGGUGGUUCUGAAUGGAAGGGCCAUCGCUCAACGGAUAAAAGGUACUCCGGGGAUAACAGGCUGAUACCGCCCAAGAGUUCAUAUCGACGGCGGUGUUUGGCACCUCGAUGUCGGCUCAUCACAUCCUGGGGCUGAAGUAGGUCCCAAGGGUAUGGCUGUUCGCCAUUUAAAGUGGUACGCGAGCUGGGUUUAGAACGUCGUGAGACAGUUCGGUCCCUAUCUGCCGUGGGCGUUGGAAGAUUGAGAGGGGUUGCUCCUAGUACGAGAGGACCGGAGUGAACGCACCACUGGUGUUCGGGUUGUCAUGCCAAUGGCAUUGCCCGGUAGCUAAGUGCGGAAAAGAUAAGCGCUGAAAGCAUCUAAGCGCGAAACUUGCCUCAAGAUGA
rnacentral:rRNA from 1 species